rnacentral:rRNA from 1 species
GAUUAGGGUUUGAUUAUGGCUCAGGAUGAACGCUAGCGGCAGGCUUAACACAUGCAAGUCGAGGGGUAACAGGGAUUGCUUGCAAUCCGCUGACGACCGGCGCACGGGUGCGUAACGCGUAUGCAACCUACCUUCUACAGGGGGAUAGUCAAUAGAAAUGUUGAAUAAUACCCCAUACGAUCUUUGAAUAGCAUUAUUUAAAGAAGAAAGUUCCGGCGGUAGAAGAUGGGCAUGCGUCCUAUUAGUUAGUUGGAGAGGUAACGGCUCCCCAAGACAUCGAUAGGUAGGGGUCCUGAGAGGGAGACCCCCCACACUGGUACUGAGACACGGACCAGACUCCUACGGGAGGCAGCAGUGAGGAAUAUUGGACAAUGGAGGCAACUCUGAUCCAGCCAUGCCGCGUGCAGGAAGACUGCCCUAUGGGUUGUAAACUGCUUUUAUACAGGAAGAAAUGUACCUACGUGUAGGUAUUUGACGGUACUGUACGAAUAAGGAUCGGCUAACUCCGUGC